rnacentral:sRNA from 1 species
CUUCAAAACAAUCAAUUGAAAAUAUAAAGAACUGAUGAGAAAAUGAAACAUAUCGAUACCAAAAAUUUGUGAAUUUGUGAGCCCCUUAAAACGAAAAGUAAACGUAUUGGCUGAAAAUGUAAUCUGCAAAAACUCUUUCAGAAAAAAAAGAUCCCAAUGCAUCAAAAAAUCACCCCUACCUUAUAUUCAAAAAUCCAAAGAACAACUUAUUGAAACCAACAUCACAACAAUAUAACUUCAGUUCUAGCCUAUGAGGAAUCACUCCCGGUUUUGAUAGCAUCAGUUGUACAAUAUUAAAAAAUCUACCUGUCCAUCAAUAUGGAAGAGGCUUUCGACAGAGUAGGAACCCAUUGCAUUAUUGAACAACUCUGAAUGGAAACUAGGUUACCUUGGAAACAGAAGAUUCUGAGUACAAGUAAACAACACCUUAUCAGAAGAAAAAGGACUACACAACGGCAUCCCCAAAGAAUACCCGCUGUCAGUGACUCUUUUUCGUAAUCGCUUUUAAUAAAAUAAAUAUAAUAAGCCAGCACAAAUUUUUUACCCACACGAUGUAUCCUGAUAUCCUGACGAUCUCUGUCUUAUUUUCAAUCAAAAGCUGGGCUAUAAUAGAGAAUUAAGCAACAUGCAGAACACAUAAACUUUACUGGCACAAAAAUAUCCAGCGGAAAAUCUUUGCACCUAAAAAACCACAGAUGUAAAUUUAUAGAAAUUAAAAUAAAUGAAAUAAUGAAUCCAACAUUAGUAAAAUCAAACUCAUGUGGACACCGGGAAAUGAAGGAAUCAGAGGAACAUUAACAACAAAUAGGAAAUACGCUAUCAACUACACCAGAUUUAAAUAAGGAAACACAAAAUUUGAUCACGAGCGCCUAUUUAACAAAUUCUUACCGCCGCUUUGUCUAUAUUGCAAUACAAACACAAUUACCAUUGAUACCAUACCAAUUAC